UGCCAUGUUUUUCCACAGCUUUCUUGAACUUCCUAGAGCCUAGAGGUGCUGCUAGCUAUACAUAUAACUUAAGAAGUUCAAGAAAGCCGUGGAAUAGCAUGA
rnacentral:pre_miRNA from 1 species